rnacentral:rRNA from 1 species
GGGUUGUGGGACAGCUUAUUGUAAAGUGUGAUUGUUAGAUGAAGCAGAAUGAAUGCUGCGCCAUAGUAGGUGAAAGUCCUGUAGUCGAAAACUUAUACAUUUUAAAGCUUCAUCCCAAGUAGGGAGGGACACGUGAAACCCCUUUUGAAUUUGCGAGGACCACCUCGUAAGACUAAAUAUUCCUGAAUAACCGAUAGUGAACCAGUACCGUGA